rnacentral:rRNA from 2 species
AGAGAUUAGAGUUUGAUCCUGGCUCAGGACGAACGCUGGCGGCGUGCUUAACACAUGCAAGUCGAACGCUGAAGCACCCAGCUUGCUGGGUGUGGAUGAGUGGCGAACGGGUGAGUAAUACGUGAGUGACCUUCCCUUGACUCUGGGAUAAGCCCGGGAAACUGGGUCUAAUACCGGAUAUGCACUAUCACCUGCCUGGGUGGUGGUGGAAAGGGUUUUGUACUGGUCUUGGAUGGGCUCACGGCCUAUCAGCUAGUUGGUGAGGUAAUGGCUUACCAAGGCGACGACGGGUAGCCGGCCUGAGAGGGUGACCGGCCACACUGGGACUGAGACACGGCCCAGACUCCUACGGGAGGCAGCAGUGGGGAAUAUUGCACAAUGGGCGCAAGCCUGAUGCAGCGACGCCGCGUGAGGGAUGACGGCCUUCGGGUUGUAAACCUCUUUCAGCAGGGAAGAAGCGAAAGUGACGGUACCUGCAGAAGAAGCGCCGGCUAACUACGUGCCAGCAGCCGCGGUAAUACGUAGGGCGCAAGCGUUGUCCGGAAUUAUUGGGCGUAAAGAGCUCGUAGGCGGCUUGUCGCGUCUGCUGUGAAAGCCCGGGGCUUAACCCCGUGGUGUGCAGUGGGUACGGGCAGGCUAGAGUGCAGUAGGGGAGACUGGAAUUCCUGGUGUAGCGGUGAAAUGCGCAGAUAUCAGGAGGAACACCGAUGGCGAAGGCAGGUCUCUGGGCUGUUACUGACGCUGAGGAGCGAAAGCAUGGGGAGCGGACAGGAUUAGAUACCCUGGUAGUCCAUGCCGUAAACGUUGGGCACUAGGUGUGGGGGACAUUCCACGUUUUCCGCGCCGUAGCUAACGCAUUAAGUGCCCCGCCUGGGGAGUACGGCCGCAAGGCUAAAACUCAAAGGAAUUGACGGGGGCCCGCACAAGCGGCGGAGCAUGCGGAUUAAUUCGAUGCAACGCGAAGAACCUUACCAAGGCUUGACAUACACUGGAUCGCAGCAGAGAUGUUGUUUCCUCUUUGAGGCUGGUGUACAGGUGGUGCAUGGUUGUCGUCAGCUCGUGUCGUGAGAUGUUGGGUUAAGUCCCGCAACGAGCGCAACCCUCGUUCUAUGUUGCCAGCACGUGAUGGUGGGGACUCAUAGGAGACUGCCGGGGUCAACUCGGAGGAAGGUGGGGAUGACGUCAAAUCAUCAUGCCCCUUAUGUCUUGGGCUUCACGCAUGCUACAAUGGCCGGUACAAUGGGUUGCGAUACUGUGAGGUGGAGCUAAUCCCAAAAAGCCGGUCUCAGUUCGGAUUGGGGUCUGCAACUCGACCCCAUGAAGUCGGAGUCGCUAGUAAUCGCAGAUCAGCAACGCUGCGGUGAAUACGUUCCCGGGCCUUGUACACACCGCCCGUCAAGUCACGAAAGUUGGUAACACCCGAAGCCGAUGGCCUAACCCUUGUGGAGGGAGUCGUCGAAGGUGGGACUGGCGAUUGGGACUAAGUCGUAACAAGGUAGCCGUACCGGAAGGUGCGGCUGGAUCACCUCCUAA